rnacentral:rRNA from 1 species
CGAGAUCGUGAUAAGGGAACCCCGUAAGUGCCCGUAAAUUCGGGCUGUCCAUCAGCGUAAAAAACUGGUGAAGAAAGGGCCGGGCAAGACCGGUGCCAGCCGCCGCGGUAAUACCGGCGGCUCGAGUGGUGGCCACUAUUACUGGGCUUAAAGCGUCCGUAGCUGGAUUGUUAAGUCUCUUGGGAAAUCCGCCGGCUUAACCGGCGGGCGUUCAGGAGAAACUGGCAAUCUAG